CCAUUCUCUGUGAAGAACUGUCUGUUCAUGUCCUUUGCCCAGGGAUCUCCUUUGCUUCUCGUACGCUUAUUUCAAUAACUUUUGCAUCUACAAAGUUAAAAACUUUGCAUUUACUGAGGAAACCUUCCUGACCACCCAACCCAACAUUGGCUCUCACCAGGCUCAAGCAACAGAGAAAACGAGUUGAAAAAAGAAAGAAGAUUAUAGCAGACAUGAAUACCGAAGGAUGGAAUGUAAAGCUAGCUCUCUUGCUGUUACUGCUGCCACAUAAGCCCUAGUGACACAAAGUCAGAGUCGGUCACAUGAACACUGAAGAGCCGGACAGAUCGACAGGUGUCCAAUGCCGUGGUGCCACCACUCGCCCAGCAAGAAUUCGGACCAAUGCAGAACACUUGAGGUCAAGCUAGAGAGGCGGGCAACACCUCUCUCCAAGGGUCGAAGGUUGUUGAGAGGGUGGAAUGAGAUCAUGCUUCUGAAGGACUUAACAACAGGCCUCUGCGUGAGGUAAACACUAAUAAAUGGCUAUUCUUGUUAUCAACAUGAUAUUUAAGGAAAAA